rnacentral:rRNA from 1 species
UACAGAGGGUGCGAGCGUUAAUCGGAAUUACUGGGCGUAAAGCGAGCGUAGUCGGUUAUUUAAGUCGGGUGUGAAAUCCCCGGGCUCAACCUGGGAAUUGCAUUCGAUACUGGAUAGCUAGAGUUCGGCAGAGGGAAGCGGAAUUUCCGGUGUAGCGGUGAAAUGCGUAGAUAUCGGAAGGAACAUCAGUGGCGAAAGCGGCUUCCUGGACCAGAACUGACGAUCAGGCUCGAAAGCGUGGGGAG